UCCUCGGUAGUAUAGUGGUUAGUAUCCGCGCCUGUCACGUUCGAGACCCUGGUUCACUUCCGGCCGGGGAG